rnacentral:tRNA from 1 species
AGUUAAAUAGCUUAUUUAAAGCCUGUAUUUUGAAAAUACAAGAAAGGGGUUCACUCCCCUUUAACUU